rnacentral:rRNA from 1 species
UACGAAGGGGGGCUAGCGUUGCUCGGAAUGACUGGGCGUAAAGGGCGCGUAGGCGGACGGCUUUGUCGGGCGUGAAAUUCCAGGGCUUAACCUUGGGGCUGCGUUCGAGACGGGUUGUCUAGAGUUUGGAAGAGGGUCGUGGAAUUCCCAGUGUAGAGGUGAAAUUCGUAGAUAUUGGGAAGAACACCGGUGGCGAAGGCGGCGAGCUGGUCCAUCACUGACGCUGAGGCGCGACAGCGUGGGGGAGCAAACAGG